rnacentral:rRNA from 1 species
GGGCCCGCACAAGCGGUGGAGCAUGUGGUUUAAUUCGAUGAUACGCGAGGAACCUUACCAGGGCUUAAAUGUAGUGGGACAGGUCUAGAGAUAGACCCUUCUUCGGACUCAUUACAAGGUGCUGCAUGGUUGUCGUCAGCUCGUGCCGUGAGGUGUCAGGUUAAGUCCUAUAACGAGCGCAACCCCUAUCGUUAGUUGCCAGCGGGUAAUGCCGGGAACUCUAGCGAAACUGCCGGUGCAAACCGAGAGGAAGGUGGGGAUGACGUCAAAUCAUCACGGCCCUUACGUCCUGGGCUACACACGUGCUACAAUGGGUAGAACAAUAAGUUGCUAAGUUGCGAAACCAAGCGAAUCUUCAAAUCUACUCUAAGUUCGGAUUGUAGGCUGCAACUCGCCUACAUAAAGAUGGAAUC